rnacentral:lncRNA from 1 species
GGGAGCCCGGGUCUGGGAUUGGGAAAGGGAUGGGUGGAGCCAGCUAGAACUGCCACAGCCUAGAAGCAUUUUCCAGGGUCCCUUUGAGUUGAGAUUUUGUCAUCGUAGUAACUUGUUAUCACUCAAUGAUGGAUCAGUUAAAGGGAAAAAGACUAACUACUGGCUGGCAACACAGUUCCUUUAGGCUUCCAUGAGCAGCCUAGCUCAGGUUGGUUCAUGGUUGCCAUGCCCAGAGGGUCAUGGGGCCAGCCACAUACAAGGUGGAUUAAGCCUUCCCUGGGGAAGUGGCUUUGUUUGGUUUUCCCAUCCACUCUGGGCAAGAGGCCUCCCUGCCAGAGAUGCCACAGCCAUUUGGAGCCAAUGAAAGCAACAGAAAGCCCAAGAACCAGCCACGCACCUGCAUGUUGCCGUAAGCAGAGCCAGGAGGCAACAGAGGUUAUGCAGGUUGGAUGGGGGCGGAGGGCUUGGCAGAGCAACCUUCUCUAGAGUGGGAGAAGGAACUGGCCAAGGACUCCAGUCACCACACCUUACCCAGGGUGUGUUACAAGAAGGGCUGACUUCAGUGGAGUAAAGAUGAGGGGGCAUGGGAGAAGAGUACAGAGCCGCUGUUUCGGGUCUCAAGAUGAGAACGGAACUGGGAAGAUGGCAGAGCAACAAGAAGGAAGGAGUCUGGGUCUCAGGAUGUUUAAGAAAAGGAGGAAAUCUCUGUUGUGCUUAGGGGCUCCGUUCCUCGGGGCUUCCCCACCUUAGCACAACCUUUAUCUUCAUUAACCUUGCCUGAGUUCUCCACCCAACCCCAUGCUAAGGUGGGUUUUUUAAAUCUUCAGAAAUACAGUCUCAUGAUUUUUUCUGAGUUUUUUUUUUUUUUUGAGGGUUUUUUUUUUUUUUUUUUUUUUUUGGGCAGACUAUUUGAUGAGAACUAAGUCUGUUUCCCAUCCCCCAAUACAGUCCCCCACCACAUGCCCUCUUUUCCUUUUCUGUCUAAGUUUUUAGAUCUCUGUCUAGGAGUUUUGGUGCUACUAGAAGGACUCAGUUUCCUGACUUUAUGAAAAGUGGAGGAGACCAGUUCUGCCAUCUCCCUCUGUGUGGAAAGAAGCCAGCCACUCCAGCUCCCCUUAAGGGCCCCUGCUGGAAUGAGGCCCACACAGUUGGACACCAGUUGGACACCCUGGUCUGGAAUCUGCCUCGGCCUGAAGUACCUCCUUCCCAACUGUGGAAUGGGGAUGUUGGUGUCAGCGGAAUCGUCGGGUGUUUGUGGCCCACUUAACUGUGAGCUCCAGUUGACAGCUGCAUGACUUUGAUGCCGACCCUCGGGAUUACUAGAUGUGUUAUAAUUAACUCUGCUGGGAGGGUGUGGACUCUGGGGUCAGCCAGGAUGCCUGAG